rnacentral:rRNA from 1 species
CAGUCGCCACGGGAAAACGUAGGGUGCAAGCGUUACUCGGAAUUACUGGGCGUAAAGCGUGCGUAGGUGGUGGUUUAAGUCCGUUGUGAAAGCCCUGGGCUCAACCUGGGAAUUGCAGUGGAUACUGGGUCACUAGAGUGUGGUAGAGGAUAGUGGAAUUUCCGGUGUAGCAGUGAAAUGCGUAGAGAUCGGAAGGAACAUCUGUGGCGAAGGCGACUAUCUGGGCCAACACUGACACUGAGGCACGAAAGCGUGGGGAGCAAACAGGAUUAGAUACCCCCGUAGUCCCUGUCUCUUAUAA